AGUGAACGCUGGCGGUAGGCCUAACACAUGCAAGUCGAACGGCAGCACAGUAAGAGCUUGCUCUUACGGGUGGCGAGUGGCGGACGGGUGAGGAAUACAUCGGAAUCUACUUUUUCGUGGGGGAUAACGUAGGGAAACUUACGCUAAUACCGCAUACGCCCUACGGGUGAAAGCAGGGGAUCUUCGGACCUUGCGCGAUUGAAUGAGCCGAUGUCGGAUUAGCUAGUUGGCGGGGUAAAGGCCCACCAAGGCGACGAUCCGUAGCUGGUCUGAGAGGAGGAUCGGCCACACGGGAAGUGAGACACGGUCCAGACGCCUACGGGAGGCAGCAGUGGGGAAUAUUGGACAAUGGGCGCAAGCCUGACCCAGCCAGAGCGCGUGGGUGAAGAAGGCCUUGGGGUUGUAAAGCCCUUUUGUUGGGAAAGAAAAGCAGCAGGUUAAUACCCCGCUGUUCUGACGGUACCCAAAGAAUAAGCACCGGCUAACUUCGUG
rnacentral:rRNA from 1 species